rnacentral:rRNA from 1 species
GACGAACGCUGGCGGCGUGCCUAAUACAUGCAAGUCGAACGCACGAAGUUGAAGAGCUUGCUCUUUAACCAAGUGAGUGGCGGACGGGUGAGUAACACGUGGGUAACCUGCCCAUUAGAGGGGGAUAACAUUCGGAAACGGAUGCUAAUACCGCAUAGUUUCAGGRAUCGCAUGAUUCUUGAAGGAAAGGUGGCUUCGGCUACCACUAAUGGAUGGACCCGCGGCGUAUUAGCUAGUUGGUGAGGUAAUGGCUCACCAAGGCAAUGAUACGUAGCCGACCUGAGAGGGUGAUCGGCCACACUGGGACUGAGACACGGCCCAGACUCCUACGGGAGGCAGCAGUAGGGAAUCUUCCGCAAUGGACGAAAGUCUGACGGAGCAACGCCGCGUGAGUGAAGAAGGUUUUCGGAUCGUAAAACUCUGUUGUUAAAGAAGAACAAGGAUGAGAGUAACUGCUCAUCCCCUGACGGUAUUUAACCAGAAAGCCACGGCUAACUACGUGCCAGCAGCCGCGGUAAUACGUAGGUGGCAAGCGUUGUCCGGAUUUAUUGGGCGUAAAGCGAGCGCAGGCGGUUCUUUAAGUCUGAUGUGAAAGCCCCCGGCUCAACCGGGGAGGGUCAUUGGAAACUGGAGAACUUGAGUGCAGAAGAGGAGAGUGGAAUUCCACGUGUAGCGGUGAAAUGCGUAGAUAUGUGGAGGAACACCAGUGGCGAAGGCGACUCUCUGGUCUGUAACUGACGCUGAGGCUCGAAAGCGUGGGGAGCAAACAGGAU